rnacentral:rRNA from 1 species
CCUACGGGCGGCAGCAGUAGGGAAUUUUCGGCAAUGGGGGGAACCCUGACCGAGCAACGCCGCGUGAACGAAGAAGUUAUUCGUAAUGUAAAGUUCUUUUAACAGGGAAGAAAGAGAAAUUUGACGGUACCUGAAGAAUAAGCUCCGGCUAAUUACGUGCCAGCAGCCGCGGUAAUACGUAGGGAGCGAGCGUUAUCAGGAAUUAUUGGGCGGAAAGGGUGCGUAGAUGGCAUGAUAAGUCUUUUGUAACAAGGCUGGGCUAAACCCAGUAGGGCAAAAGAUACUGCAAAGCUAGAGUAUGACAGAGGCAAGUGGAACUACAAGUGUAGCGGUGAAAUGCGUAAAUAUUAGUAAGAACACCAGUGGCGAAGGCGGCUUGCUGGGUCGAUACUGACGUUGAGGCACGAAAGCGUGGGGAGCAAACAGGAUUAGAUACCCGGGUAGUC